GCUGCCGGUUGAAGGCUCCAGUUUUUCCCUUCAGUUUUCCCAGAUUUGAAGCCCGACUUGAUCGACAAAACAACUGUACAGUGAUCGAGUCAGAUCAAAAUAAUGGACUCCAUGAUGGCUGACUCUACAUCCAGAUGGACCGAAGCUUUAAGAGAAAUCUGACGUUUGGCUGAAAUGCCUGCUGUCAGAUCAAAAUGUUGGACUUGCCCCCCUUGUGUCUCCAUGACGGCUGACUCUACAUCCAGAUGGACCGAAGCUUUAAGAGAAAUCUAUGGACGUUUUGCUGAAAUGCCUGCUGGUUCCGACAAACUUUUGCUGAGUGCAGACAAAUCCUGAUGCAGUUUCCUCAUACUCUGAACUGUGUAACCUUCCGUAGUUGUGAUGCUUGGAAAUGCAUACUUCAAAUUGUCCUUCUGUGUACUUAUCAAACAUUGCUUGAAAAAGGCUAUAACCUUGCGUACUUAGCAAUUUUUACUUGAAAAUGCUACAAGGCAUGCUCAUCAGAUUUUGCUUCUGCAUACUUAUCAAACUUUUCUUGAAAAUGAACAAGGCCUUGCGUACUUUUUUGCUUGAAGUAUGCCUUGCAAAUUUGGCUUCUGCAUACUUAUCAUAUUUUGCUUGAAAAUGCAACAAGGCUUUAGCCUUGCAUACUUAUCAAAUUUUGCUUCAAAAUGCUACAAGGCUUUACUUAUCAAAUUUUGCAACAAGACAUACUUAUCAAAUUUUGCUUCUGCGUACUUAUCAGAUUUUUGCAUGAAAAAGCUACAAGACUAUAGCCUUGCAUACUUAUCAAAUUUUGCUUGAAAAUGCUACAAGA